UACGUAGGUGGCAAGCGUUGUCCGGAUUUAUUGGGUUUAAAGGGUGCGUAGGUGGCCCUGUAAGUCAGUGGUGAAAUAUCUCAGCUUAACUGAGAGGGUGCCAUUGAUACUGCAGGGCUUGAGUACAGAUGAGGUAGGCGGAAUUGACGGUGUAGCGGUGAAAUGCGUAGAUAUCUGGAGGAACACCGGUGGCGAAGGCGGCGUCCUGGACCAACACUGACACUGAUGAGCGAAAGCCAGGGGAGCAAACGGG
rnacentral:rRNA from 1 species